AUGCAAGUGUCAGAGGACACUGAUUCCAAUAGUUGAUCUGUGAAUGGCUCCUUAGACCAGCAACCAUCGACGUGAUAGAUGUGUGUGGUGCCAGCCUCUCGCCUGAAGGCGCUCAGUUGGAUAUCUCUCAAAACCUGGUGGCUAAUACACGAUCAAGAGGUCAGCCAUGCAAUGGCUUGUGUGCAAACUCAGAAGGCGUCCCAACCCCAAUGUGGUGGACUGCAACCAGCUGGUGAGCAAGACCGGUGCCCAGCAAUGGGCAGCGUUGGCCAUGUGUUGAACCAAGCUGGAUCCCAUUGGCGGAUCAUCGAAGGCAAGGGACAGUCAGCUCUGGCGUAUGGUCUCUGCCUGGGCCCCGGUCCAGGCAAGAUCAAUCUCUACAGUGUGCUUGGGCUCAGCCCUCACUCAGCUUGAUCAUGCGAACUUCUGACCUAUCAGCUCUGUGGUGAUGUAUUGGAUCACUGUGGCCUCGACGGGUAACGGAGAAUGAGGGUCUGAUUCCGGAGAGGGAGCCUCAGAGACGGCUACCACUGCUACGGUGGGCAGCAGGCACGCAAAUUGCCCCAUGAAAGAACAUGUCCAUUGAGGCAGCAACGAACUGCAGCAACUGUGCAUGACCUCACCGGUCGGUACAGCUUGGAAUGGAUGCAACCCAAACACAGUGAUGAGUAGCCACUGGAGAGCAAGUCUGGUGCCAGCAGUCGCGGUAAUUCCAGCUCCAAGUGUGUAUGCUGUCAUUGCUGCUGUUAAAACGCUCGUAGUCAGACCAUGGGAUGCAGGACCAUUCAGUGUUGUGGGCCCGAUUGCCAGGCCUGCCAGGUGAGGCUGAAACCUCAUCGGGGCUUGGCAUUGGAUCACCCACAGCUGGAAGGCCAUCACGGUUCGCAAGGGCCCGUGUUUCCUGCUCCCACUGCUCAAGCUCCUUCUUGGUCUCCUGACCUCGACAGAAGCUUGGAUGGCAUGAUGUGCUCUUGCUGUAAGUAUCCUCUACUGGACCCUGAGGCGGUAUCGCUCCCAACCCUAGCCAUUGGCACGGAACUUGGAUCCAGGCCCCGUGUCUGGAAGACCAGAUCCAUUCUGCCAGCCAUCGGAGUCUGCCAUCGUUGUCACCCUGGUGAAAGCAGUGUGCUCCAAGCAUCCAACCGAAGUUCCCUCGGGAACCAUCAGUCAUGGCUGAAUGUGCAACCAGUGAAUGCCAAUCAAACGACCACGUGAGGCAAUGCUUGUGCUGGUCUUGAGGCCCAUGCCUGGGCAAUGUGGCAGGGGGAACCAUUCAGAAGCUCAUGCCCAUGAGUGGAUCCUGGUCCGAGCUACUCGAUAUCGGAUGGGAGGCAGCCCGACGGGUGAAGGGGACCUUAGUGUCAGAGGUGAAAUUCUUAGACCGCCAUGAGACCAGCUGAGGCGAAGGCUCUUCGACCAACUAGCCUGCCUCUCUCGAUCAAGAAUGGCAGUUUGGGGAGCCAAGAUGAUCAGACACCGUCGUAGUCCAGUGCCGUAAACGGUACCACCCGAGUCCUGUAGUUGAUGCGCGCCUCCCAUGGCUUCAGGAGUCACCCCCUGACCGAGAGAAAUCCCAAGCGGGUUCAGGGGGGAGUACCGCCGCAAGGCAGAAACUUAAAGGAAUUGACGGAGUGGCACCACAAGGCGUGGAGUAUGCGGCUUAAUUUGACUCAACGCGGGGAAUGUUACCAGGCCAGGACAUGGCAAGGAUGGACAGAUUGAGAGCUCUUUCUUGAUUCCGUGGACGGUGGUGCAUGGCCGCUACUGAUUGGUGGAGUGAUUUGUCUGGCUGAUCCCGAUAACGAGUGAGAUCUCUGCUUCUGACUAGACUCUGGCUCGCAUCUGUAGGGCGGUUCCAGAGAACAGCACUGACGUGGCCCUGUCUUCGGAUGGGAUCCUCCACCCAGUGGCUGGCUGGUUCCCCCGAGAGCCAACAAGGAAGUCUUCUCUGAGGUGCUGCUUUACCGACAAGAAGGCUGAGCAUGCGAGAGGCAACAGCAGGUCUGUGAUGCUCCCAGAUGUUCUGGGCCGCACGCGCACGACACUGAUUCAGUGAAGGAGCCAACAAGAAGGCAAGGGUUCUCCCACUGCCCCGUGGCCUGAAGAGGCUGGGAAACCUUGCAAGCCUGAGACGUGAUGGGGAUAGAUGAUUGCAACUGUGUCUCUUGAACGAGGAAUGCCUAGUAUGCCCAGGUCAUCAGCCUGGAUCGACUGAGUCCCUGCCAUUUGUACACACCGCCCGUCGUUGCUACCGAUGGCAUUGGGAUAGAAACAUGUGGAGAAUGGACAAGCGCCUAUCAAAGCUGGGUGAUGUUCCUCUGCUAGAGGAAGCAAAA
rnacentral:rRNA from 1 species